rnacentral:pre_miRNA from 1 species
CCCAACCUAAUAUUUAUUUCUGAGUUCAAAAAUUGAUCUCAGAAAUAAAUAUUGGGUUGGGU